CCUACGGGCGGCAGCAGUCGAGAAUCAUUCACAAUGGGGGAAACCCUGAUGGUGCGACGCCGCGUGGGGGAAUGAAGGUCUUCGGAUUGUAAACCCCUGUCAUGUGGGAGCAAAUUAAAAAGAUAGUACCACAAGAGGAAGAGACGGCUAACUCUGUGCCAGCAGCCGCGGGAAUACAGAGGUCUCAAGCGUUGUUCGGAAUCACUGGGCGUAAAGCGUGCGUAGGCUGUUUCGUAAGUCGUGUGUGAAAGGCGCGGGCUCAACCCGCGGACGGCACAUGAUACUGCGAGACUAGAGUAAUGGAGGGGGAACCGGAAUUCUCGGUGUAGCAGUGAAAUGCGUAGAGAUCGAGAGGAACACUCGUGGCGAAGGCGGGUUCCUGGACAUUAACUGACGCUGAGGCACGAAGGCCAGGGGAGCGAAAGGGAUUAGAUACCCGAGUAGUC
rnacentral:rRNA from 1 species